rnacentral:lncRNA from 1 species
AAGAUAUCAUUGAACAAACAAGGCGAGAAUUAUGGCUAACGGACCAAGGAAGAGUCCAAGUUUAGAAGAGUCAAGAACAAGACAUGGAGAUGUAUUGAAGACAUUAUUGAGUUGUUUGCAUUGUGAUCUUGAUCCGAAUAUGGAUUCAAGUCUUGGCUUCUCUCUAAAAUCAUUUUAUCAAAUCAUGCAUAUCAGAAAUAUU